UAACUGUUACGUUUUUUUGCCGAGUAAAA
rnacentral:sRNA from 1 species